rnacentral:rRNA from 1 species
UACGUAGGGAGCAAGCGUUGUCCGGAAUCAUUGGGCGUAAAGCGCGCGUAGGUGGCCUCAUAAGUCCGCUGUGAAAGUCAAAAGGCUCAACCUUUGAAAGCCGGUGGAUACUGUGAGGCUAGAGUACGGAAGAGGCGAGUGGAAUUCCUGGUGUAGCGGUGGAAUGCGCAGAUAUCAGGAGGAACACCAAUAGCGAAGGCAGCUCGCUGGGACGGUACUGACGCUGAGACGCGAAAGCGUGGGGAGCAAACAGG